rnacentral:rRNA from 1 species
GACGAACCGUGCAAACGUUGUUCGGAAUCACUGGGCUUAAAGGGCGCGUAGGCGGUCGACCAAGUCCGGGGUGAAAUCUUUCGGCUUAACCGGAAAAGUGCCUUGGAUACUGGCCGGCUGGAGGUCGAGAGAGGUGAGUGGAAUUCCGAGUGUAGAGGUGAAAUUCGUAGAUAUUCGGAGGAACACCAGUGGCGAAGGCGGCUCACUGGCUCGAUACUGACGCUGAGGUGCGAAAGCGUGGGGAGCAAACAGG